rnacentral:sRNA from 1 species
UCGACUUACCCACCAAGAAGGACAGUAUGAGCAAUACAAGCUUCCCCACUGCUUCCUAGUCCAUGUGCUCAGCCCUGACCCGGAGGAACCACUCCUGGAGGUGAGAGA